rnacentral:rRNA from 1 species
AACGUGAAACUACCACGAGGUUAAAACGGAUGGACAUGCGUAGCGGAAAAGGGGGUCUCAGCUCCUCGAACCCCGCGGCGUUGUCGCGUUUUAGACCGUCCCCGUCCACCCUCCCUCGUGGAGGUCCUGGCUCCGGGGAAGGCUAUCGCGGCGUCGGACGUCGGGGAAAGGGGGGUGGAUUUCCCUCCUUAGUACGCGGUCGCGGCCGCUCUGCUAGGGUUGUCGGUGACCUGGAAGCUUGGGAACCGAGCUGUGGCUUUGUCUUCGGGCGGAGUUGCGGACCGGGGACUCUUCCUAGAAUCUGACGGACCCGAGAACGGUUCGAUAGAAGGAGGCCGGUUGGCUGGUUGCUGCUUCUGUGGCUACUAUCGCCUGUCUCCUUUCGCGGCCGUUAUUCGCGAUCGUCCAUCCGUCCCGUCUUGAAACACGGACCAAGGAGUCUAACAUGCGCGCGAGUCGAAGGGAUUCUAAGUCUAAUCCCCGAGGCGCAACGAAAGCGAAAAAGGUUCUUUUCCUCUCCGUCUGUCUUGUGCUGUUGCGCGCGCCCGUUGCUAUCUUCUCCUCGUGGGGAGGUGGUGGCGGUGUCGUUGUCAGCGGUAACGGGGCGGUUGAGGGGGGUUCUGUUGGGCUGAUCCGUGCUCCUGUGCCAGGACCGGCGCAAGCCCGGGGUUCGUCGCUACCCUCUCGUUUCCCUUUGCGGGGUUUCGGGACGGGCGGUGGGCACCUGGAGCGCGCAUGCUAGUACCCGAAAGAUGGUGAUCUAUGCUUGGCCAGGACGAAGCCAGAGGAAACUCUGGUGGAGGUCCGUAGCGAUUCUGACGUGCAAAUCGAUCGUCAGAGCUGGGUAUAGGGGCGAA